UACGAAGGGGGCUAGCGUUGCUCGGAAUCACUGGGCGUAAAGCGCACGUAGGCGGAUCUUUAAGUCAGGGGGUGAAAUCCUGGAGCUCAACUCCAGAACUGCCUUCGAUACUGAGGAUCUCGAGUCCGGGAGAGGUGAGUGGAACUGCGAGUGUAGAGGUGAAAUUCGUAGAUAUUCGCAAGAACACCAGUGGCGAAGGCGGCUCACUGGCCCGGUACUGACGCUGAGGUGCGAAAGCGUGGGGAGCAAACAGG
rnacentral:rRNA from 1 species